GGGUUGUGAGGUUAAGCGACUAAGCGUACACGGUGGAUGCCCUGGCAGUCAGAGGCGAUGAAGGACGUGCUAAUCUGCGAAAAGCGUCGGUAAGGUGAUAUGAACCGUUAUAACCGGCGAUGUCCGAAUGGGGAAACCCAGUGCAAUUCGUUGCACUAUCGUUAACUGAAUACAUAGGUUAACGAGGCGAACCGGGGGAACUGAAACAUCUAAGUACCCCGAGGAAAAGAAAUCAACCGAGAUUCCCCCAGUAGCGGCGAGCGAACGGGGAGCAGCCCAGAGUCUGAAUCAGCUUGUGUGUUAGUGGAACGGUCUGGAAAGUCCGACGGUACAGGGUGAUAGUCCCGUACACCAAAAUGCACAGGCUGUGAACUCGAAGAGUAGGGCGGGACACGUGGUAUCCUGUCUGAAUAUGGGGGGACCAUCCUCCAAGGCUAAAUACUCCUGACUGACCGAUAGUGAACCAGUACCGUGAGGGAAAGGCGAAAAGAACCCCGGCGAGGGGAGUGAAAAAGAACCUGAAACCGUGUACGUACAAGCAGUGGGAGCACCUUCGGGUGUGACUGCGUACCUUUUGUAUAAUGGGUCAGCGACUUAUAUUCUGUAGCAAGGUUAACCGUAUAGGGGAGCCGCAGGGAAACCGAGUCUUAACUGGGCGUUAAGUUGCAGGGUAUAGACCCGAAACCCGGUGAUCUAGCCAUGGGCAGGUUGAAGGUUGGGUAACACUAACUGGAGGACCGAACCGACUAAUGUUGAAAAAUUAGCGGAUGACUUGUGGCUGGGGGUGAAAGGCCAAUCAAACCGGGAGAUAGCUGGUUCUCCCCGAAAGCUAUUUAGGUAGCGCCUCGUGAACUCAUCUUCGGGGGUAGAGCACUGUUUCGGCUAGGGGGUCAUCCCGACUUACCAACCCGAUGCAAACUACGAAUACCGAAGAAUGUUAUCACGGGAGACACACGGCGGGUGCUAACGUCCGUCGUGAAGAGGGAAACAACCCAGACCGCCAGCUAAGGUCCCAAAGUCAUGGUUAAGUGGGAAACGAUGUGGGAAGGCACAGACAGCCAGGAUGUUGGCUUAGAAGCAGCCAUCAUUUCAAGAAAGCGUAAUAGCUCACUGGUCGAGUCGGCCUGCGCGGAAGAUGUAACGGGGCUAAACCAUGCACCGAAGCUGCGGCAGCGACACUAUGUGUUGUUGGGUAGGGGAGCGUUCUGUAAGCCUGCGAAGGUGUGCUGUGAGGCAUGCUGGAGGUAUCAGAAGUGCGAAUGCUGACAUAAGUAACGAUAAAGCGGGUGAAAAGCCCGCUCGCCGGAAGACCAAGGGUUCCUGUCCAACGUUAAUCGGGGCAGGGUGAGUCGACCCCUAAGGCGAGGCCGAAAGGCGUAGUCGAUGGGAAACAGGUUAAUAUUCCUGUACUUGGUGUUACUGCGAAGGGGGGACGGAGAAGGCUAUGUUAGCCGGGCGACGGUUGUCCCGGUUUAAGCAUGUAGGCUGAUUGUCCAGGCAAAUCCGGAUAAUCAAGGCUGAGGUGUGAUGACGAGGCACUACGGUGCUGAAGUAACAAAUGCCCUGCUUCCAGGAAAAGCCUCUAAGCAUCAGGUAACAUUAAAUCGUACCCCAAACCGACACAGGUGGUCAGGUAGAGAAUACCAAGGCGCUUGAGAGAACUCGGGUGAAGGAACUAGGCAAAAUGGUGCCGUAACUUCGGGAGAAGGCACGCUGGUGUGUAGGUGAAGUCCCUGCGGAUGGAGCUGAGACCAGUCGAAGAUACCAGCUGGCUGCAACUGUUUAUUAAAAACACAGCACUGUGCAAACACGAAAGUGGACGUAUACGGUGUGACGCCUGCCCGGUGCCGGAAGGUUAAUUGAUGGGGUUAUCCGUAAGGAGAAGCUCUUGAUCGAAGCCCCGGUAAACGGCGGCCGUAACUAUAACGGUCCUAAGGUAGCGAAAUUCCUUGUCGGGUAAGUUCCGACCUGCACGAAUGGCGUAAUGAUGGCCAGGCUGUCUCCACCCGAGACUCAGUGAAAUUGAACUCGCUGUGAAGAUGCAGUGUACCCGCGGCAAGACGGAAAGACCCCGUGAACCUUUACUAUAGCUUGACACUGAACAUUGAGCCUUGAUGUGUAGGAUAGGUGGGAGGCUUUGAAGCGUGGACGCCAGUCUGCGUGGAGCCAACCUUGAAAUACCACCCUUUAAUGUUUGAUGUUCUAACGUUGGCCCCUGACCGGGGUUGCGGACAGUGUCUGGUGGGUAGUUUGACUGGGGCGGUCUCCUCCCAAAGCGUAACGGAGGAGCACGAAGGUUAGCUAAUCCUGGUCGGACAUCAGGAGGUUAGUGCAAUGGCAUAAGCUAGCUUGACUGCGAGCGUGACGGCGCGAGCAGGUGCGAAAGCAGGUCAUAGUGAUCCGGUGGUUCUGAAUGGAAGGGCCAUCGCUCAACGGAUAAAAGGUACUCCGGGGAUAACAGGCUGAUACCGCCCAAGAGUUCAUAUCGACGGCGGUGUUUGGCACCUCGAUGUCGGCUCAUCACAUCCUGGGGCUGAAGUAGGUCCCAAGGGUAUGGCUGUUCGCCAUUUAAAGUGGUACGCGAGCUGGGUUUAGAACGUCGUGAGACAGUUCGGUCCCUAUCUGCCGUGGGCGCUGGAGAAUUGAGGGGGGCUGCUCCUAGUACGAGAGGACCGGAGUGGACGCAUCACUGGUGUUCGGGUUGUCAUGCCAAUGGCACUGCCCGGUAGCUAAAUGCGGAAGAGAUAAGUGCUGAAAGCAUCUAAGCACGAAACUUGCCCCGAGAUGAGUUCUCCCUGAGACUUUAAGUCUCCUGAAGGAACGUUAAAGACGAUGACGUUGAUAGGCCGGGUGUGUAAGCGCAGCGAUGCGUUGAGCUAACCGGUACUAAUGAACCGUGAGGCUUAACCUUACAACGCCGAAG
rnacentral:rRNA from 1 species